rnacentral:rRNA from 1 species
UACGAAGGGGGCUAGCGUUGCUCGGAAUCACUGGGCGUAAAGCGCACGUAGGCGGAUUGCUAAGUCAGGGGUGAAAUCCUGGAGCUCAACUCCAGAACUGCCUUUGAUACUGGCGAUCUUGAGUCCGGGAGAGGUGAGUGGAACUGCGAGUGUAGAGGUGAAAUUCGUAGAUAUUCGCAAGAACACCAGUGGCGAAGGCGGCUGACUGGUCCGGUUCUGACGCUGAGGCGCGAAAGCGUGGGGAGCAAACAGG